AUUACCCAAGUUUGAG
rnacentral:misc_RNA from 2 species